GUCGUUGUGAGCUCGGUCUGCACUAUGCCGGGUGGAGGAAGCUCACAGUCGCACGCGGACGCGUUCUUGCGCACAUGCCCCCAAACCACAGACACACACAGAACCACACUAUCUCCUAGGACGCCCAAACGUCAAGGCUCCAGAUCCGCCAGCUUCGACACCAGCAUUCAUCUCAUCUGAGAAAGAUGAGACUCAUCCCACCAGAGGAACGCAAUGGCUAGGGAUAAGGAUAGCUCGAGAAAGCAGCCUAUCAUUCAAAGCGUGUUUGCUAAACAUACGUAAACGCACGGGCGAAUAAACCCGACCGAAGCACAGUGAAAUCCAACAGGGAAGUGGAAGGGGAACGUUCAUUAUUCAGUGCACAACUCUGUCUGGAAAAUACGAUUAUUCACAGGAGCUGAUGAGCUGAUCUCGCCCGCAGAGUGGAUGGGUAAUGAGGAUCCCAGCUUGAAGCUUGAGACCCUCAUCCUAGGUGCCUGGAAGUUAGUAUUCUGCUAGCAGCCUUCAGAUGAAGAUGUAGAACGCACAGCUCCUCCUGCACCAUGCCUGCCUGGACACUGCCAUAUUCCUGCCUUGAUGAUAACGGACUGAACAUCUGCACCUGCAAACCAGCCUCAAUUAAACGUUGUUCUUAAAAGA
rnacentral:lncRNA from 1 species